rnacentral:rRNA from 1 species
AAGCGGUGGAUGAUGUGGAUUAAUUCGAUGCAACGCGAAAACCUUACCUACCCUUGACAUGUCCGGAAUCCCGAAGAGAUUUGGGAGUGCUCGCAAGAGAGCCGGAACACAGGUGCUGCAUGGCUGUCGUCAGCUCGUGUCGUGAGAUGUUGGGUUAAGUCCCGCAACGAGCGCAACCCUUGUCAUUAGUUGCCAUCAUUUGGUUGGGCACUCUAAUGAGACUGCCGGUGACAAACCGGAGGAAGGUGGGGAUGACGUCAAGUCCUCAUGGCCCUUAUGGGUAGGGCUUCACACGUCAUACAAUGGUCGGUACAGAGGGUUGCCAACCCGCGAGGGGGAGCUAAUCCCACAAAGCCGAUCGUAGUCCGGAUCGCAGUCUGCAACUCGACUGCGUGAAGUCGGAAUCGCUAGUAAUCGUGGAUCAGCAUGUCACGGUGAAUACGUUCCCGGGUCUU